rnacentral:tRNA from 1 species
GCGGGAUUAACUCAGUGGUAGAGUGUCAGCUUCCCAAGCUGAACGUCGUGGGUUCGAAUCCCAUAUCCCGCUCCA